rnacentral:rRNA from 1 species
UACGUAGGUGGCAAGCGUUGUUCGGAAUUACUGGGCGUAAAGCGCGUGUAGGCGGCUCUUCAAGUCAGACGUGAAAGCCCCGGGCUUAACUCGGGAACUGCGUUUGAUACUGUCGAGCUAGAGUGUGGAAGGGGCGAUUGGAAUUCCGUGUGUAGCGGUGAAAUGCGUAGAUAUCUGGAGGAAUACCGGUGGCGAAGGCGGCAUCCUGGACCGAAACUGACGCUGAGGCGCGAAAGCUAGGGGAGCAAACGGGG